GAUGAAGAACGUAGCGAAAUGCGAUAAGUAAUGUGAAUUGCAGAAUUCAGUGAAUCAUCGAAUCUUUGAACGCACAUUGCGCCCCCUGGCAUUCCGGGGGGCAUGCCUGUCCGAGCGUCAUUACAACCCUCAAGCUCAGCUUGGUGUUGGGCCCCGCCGCCCCGGCGGGCCCUAAAGUCAGUGGCGGUGCCGUCCGGCUCCGAGCGUAGUAAUUCUUCUCGCUCUGGAGGUCCGGUCGUGUGCUCGCCAGCAACCCCCAAUUUUUUUCAGGUUGACCUCGGAUCAGGUAGGGAUACCCGCUGAACUUAAGCAUAUCAAUAAGCGGAGGA
rnacentral:misc_RNA from 1 species